rnacentral:rRNA from 1 species
AAUAGAUACCCCGGGUAGUCCACGCCGUAAACGAUGAAUGCUCGAUGCUGCGCCGCUUUAGGGGCAGUGUCUAAGCUAACGCGUUAAGCAUUCCACCUGGGGAGUACGAUCGCAAGGUUGAAACUCAAAGGAAUUGACGGGGGCCCGCAUAAGCGGUGGAGCAUGUGGAUUAAUUCGAUGCAACGCGAAGAACCUUACCCAGGCUCGAACGCUACCGGACAGUCCCUGAAAGGGGAUCUUCUUCGGACCGGUAGUGAGGUGCUGCAUGGCUGUCGUCAGUUCGUGUCGUGAGAUGUUGGGUUAAGUCCCGCAACGAACGCAACCCCUAUCGCUAGUUACCAGCGGGUAAUGCCGGGGACUCUAGCGAGACUGCCUGCGCAAGCAGUGAGGAAGGUGGGGAUGACGUCAAGUCAUCAUGGCCCUUACGCCUGGGGCCUCACACGUGCUACAAUGGACGGUACAAUGGGCAGCCACCCCGCGAGGGGGCGCGAAUCCAUAAAGCCGUUCUCAGUUCGGAUUGGACUCUGC